UUCAGGCCUAACACAUGCAAGUCGAACGGUAACAGGUCGCUGUGAUCCCUUCGGGGUGAACUUGAUGCUGACGAGUGGCGGACGGGUGAGUAAUGCUUGGGAAUCUGCCCAGUAGUGGGGGACAACACGGGGAAACUCGUGCUAAUACCGCAUACGUCCUACGGGAGAAAGUGGGGGAUCUUCGGACCUCACGCUAUUGGAUGAGCCCAAGUCGGAUUAGCUUGUUGGUAGGGUAACGGCCUACCAAGGCGACGAUCCGUAGCUGGUCUGAGAGGACGAUCAGCCACACUGGGACUGAGACACGGCCCAGACUCCUACGGGAGGCAGCAGUGGGGAAUAUUGGACAAUGGGCGCAAGCCUGAUCCAGCAAUGCCGCGUGUGUGAAGAAGGCCUGCGGGUUGUAAAGCACUUUCAGUAGAGAAGAAAAGCCUCGGGUUAAUACCCCGGAGUCUUGACGUAACCUACAGAAGAAGCACCGGCUAACUCCGUGCCAGCAGCCGCGGUAAUACGGAGGGUGCGAGCGUUAAUCGGAAUUACUGGGCGUAAAGCGCGCGUAGGCGGCUUGGUCAGUCGAAUGUGAAAGCCCCGGGCUUAACCUGGGAAUUGCACUCGAAACUGCCUGGCUAGAGUAUGGGAGAGGGAAGUGGAAUUUCCGGUGUAGCGGUGAAAUGCGUAGAUAUCGGAAGGAACACCAGUGGCGAAGGCGACUUCCUGGCCCAAUACUGACGCUGAGGUGCGAAAGCGUGGGUAGCGAACAGGAUUAGAUACCCUGGUAGUCCACGCCGUAAACGAUGAGAACUAGAUGUCGGGAGGAUUUACCUCUCGGUGUCGCAGCUAACGCGUUAAGUUCUCCGCCUGGGGAGUACGCCGGCCACGGUAAAACUCAAAGGAAUUGACGGGGACCCGCACAAGCGGUGGAGCAUGUGGGUUAAUUCGAUGCAACGCGAAGAACCUUACCUGCCCUUGACAUCCUUCGGAACUUACCAG
rnacentral:rRNA from 1 species